rnacentral:rRNA from 1 species
UAGGGAAUAUUGGACAAUGGGGGCAACCCUGAUCCAGCCAUGCCGCGUGAGUGAAGAAGGCCCUCGGGUUGUAAAGCUCUUUUGUCCGGAAAGAAAAGCAUUCGGUGAAUACCCGGAUGUUCUGACGGUACCGGAAGAAUAAGCACCGGCUAACUUCGUGCCAGCAGCCGCGGUAAUACGAAGGGUGCAAGCGUUACUCGGAAUUACUGGGCGUAAAGCGUGCGUAGGUGGUUGUUUAAGUCUGAUGUGAAAGCCCUGGGCUCAACCUGGGAAUGGCAUUGGAAACUGGGCAGCUAGAGUGCGGUAGAGGGUAGUGGAACUCCCGGUGUAGCAGUGAAAUGCGUAGAGAUCGGGAGGAACACCAGUGGCGAAGGCGGCCUUCUGGACCAGUACUGACGCUCAUGCACGAAAGCGUGGGGAGCAAACA